CACGUAGGGGGCGAGCGUUGUCCGGAUUCAUUGGGCGUAAAGGGCGCGCAGGCGGCUCGGAAAGUCGGGUGUGAAAACUCGGGGCUCAACCCCGAGCCUGCUUCUGAUACGGGCAGACUGGAGGUAUGCAGGGGAGAACGGAAUUCCUGGUGUAGCGGUGAAAUGCGCAGAUAUCAGGAGGAACACCGGUGGCGAAGGCGGUUCUCUGGGCAUUACCUGACGCUGAGGAGCGAAAGUGUGGGGAGCGAACAGG
rnacentral:rRNA from 1 species